CACGAGAAUAUAAAAUAAGACAUUGCUUCGAGGAAAAUUCUCAAUUAAUGAGAAAGCAUAAUUUAACUGUGCAUGAAUCUUGUAUGCAUGAACUAAUAUUUUUGAACGAUAUUUGGGGCAUCCUACUAUUUAUCCUCGUUAAUAGAUUUAACUAACUUCCGUCCAACGCGGUCGAAUAGAGCUGUGAUUCUUCAUUUCCCAUCGAAAUAUUCUAAUUGUAAAAUAGAUCUCGCAUUGGUACUCGAUCGAAAAUAAAGAACUAAUUCGGCUUUAAUCGAGGUGUGAUCUCGUAAAAAUUAUCGGGCUUUUCAAAAUUUAAUAAUUAAUUGAAAACAUUUCACUUGAGUUAAGAACACCAACAAUAUUCUUACUCGUCUUUCUUUAAUAAUUGGAUUUAUAAUUAAAACCAAUUAAAUACUUUUAUUGCAAGUAAAAAUGCAAUUUCAUGUCAUGCUUAGCAUAUAAUAAGUAAUUUACUUAAAAUAUGCACAUAAUAAUAAUACAAUAUUAUUAUUAUGUAAAUCAUCCUUUGAGAAAAAUAAUUAAUUAAACUAAUUAAAUAGUCUAAUUAAUAAGUAUCCAUUUUUCUUUGAACUGCAGCCCAGUUAAAUAAUAAGGUAGUCCAUUUCUUUAAAAAAAACAUAAGUCCAAUGUUUCAAUUUAAAUCAGGGCCCAAAGACUUUAAUAAAAUCGUCCCAAAGACUUUAAUAAAAUCGGCUCAUAGCCAAAGUCCAAUACCAUUUAAACACAAGCCCAAUAUUUUAAAAGAUAAAGGCCCAAUUAAAAUAAAUGAAGAGUCCCAAAUUCCAUUUAAAAAUCGGCCCAUCACUUAUUAAAAAUCGGCCCAAGACUCGGCCCAAAAUAAAGAAAUAACCCGGCCCAAUGUAAUGGCCCAACAAAAUAUAAAUGAGAUUAGAAUAAUAGCCCAUCGUAAAAUAAGCAUCAGCCCAAUCUUUAAAAUAAUUCAAGCCCAAUAGAAAUAAUGUGAAUGUCCAUUUAAAUAAAGACUGGCCCAAUUCGAAUUUAUUUGUGAAAGCCCAAUCGAUUAAAUUGGAAGCUCAAUUCCUUUAGAAUAAAACAAACCCAAGCUCAAAUAAUUCAGCCCAAAUAAUAUAGAUAAAGGCCCAAUUCGAAUUUAGAUGUGAAGCCCAAGACAUUAAAAUUCAAGCCCGAAAAUUAAAAGGGAAAAGCCCAAGCAAAAGAAAUAAAAUUAAGCCCAUUCUAAAAAAUCAGAGGCCCAACAAUAUAAAUAAAAACCGGCCCAACAACUUAACUCAUUCACUCAUUCCUUCUACAUUUUCGGCCCAAUAGCCAAAGCCCAACAAUCCAGGCCCAAAACCCAAACCCUAUUACCUUUCUCCUCUCUCUCUUAAUCACACGCGCACACACACAUUCAGAGACACACACAAAACAAACACACGCACACAGCAAGGCACCCCCCCUCGCCCUCUUCUCUCCUCCGGCGGUAGGCGUCGCCGGCCACGCCGCCGCCCCGACAACCCUCUCUCCUUUACCUCAAUCACGGCCGCCCACCUCCUUCACUCCACCGAACCCAGCGGAAACAUUAUACAGUCACCGCGCCCUUCUCCGUGAAGAGCCGACGAUCGGCCCCUCUCCCUCGCUCCAUCUUCUUCUCCAUCGUUUCCCUACAACAUAAGUCAGCGGCCGCAGCAGCAAAACCGACCACCGCCUCUCCCUCAAACAGACGCCCACCUCUCUUCUCUCUUCCUCUCUCAAGAUCUAUUCGUCUCUCUCUCUCUCUCGAAGUCACCGCCGUCGGAGCUCGCCGGAGUUGAGAUCGCCGCCUGGAGCUGCUGCUGUUCGCCGGGAGUUGAGGUCGCCGCCUGCUCGUCUAGCCGUCUCUCAUGGAGCCGCCGUCGCCAUGGACAGCAGAUCGGAAGCCACCCGCCGCCGCGUCGCCGGAAAAAGAUAAGUUCUCUUCCCUCUGUUCUUUUCUUCCCUUUCAUUUCCUUCCCUUUUUAGAUUAAAAACCGAAAUUUUCCUCUCAUUUCCCUCCUUGGCAGAUCGACAACCACCACGGCUUCGCCGCCGUCCGUCGACCGCCGGCAGCCACCGAGCUGUCUCACUCCCUCCCCUGACUCGGACACACAAGAACAGGAGACUCAUCCCCCCCAAAUUCCAGUUUACACAUAGAAGCAAUUAGAGUUUCAAUUCUGUUCAUUUUUCGUUUUUCUUCUACAACAAUUGAUUGUACAUGUAAAAGCUAGAAAACAUAUAGUAAAUACAUGUGUGUGCAUAUGUAUGUAUUGCUGUACUUUGAUAUAGUGUUUGGUGA